rnacentral:antisense_RNA from 1 species
CGUCAUGGUGGCCGUGUGCGGGCAGACUUCGGUCUGACCGGGUUUGUCCUAUGUCCCGGUUUUCUCACCUCGUACACGGCCGCCACCCUG